rnacentral:rRNA from 1 species
UACGUAGGGACCGAGCGUUGUCCGGAAUCAUUGGGCGUAAAGAGCGCGCAGGCGGUCGAUCAAGUCGAGUGUGAAAGCCCCCGGCUCAACUGGGGAGGGUCAUUCGAUACUGAUCGACUCGAAGGCAGGAGAGGGUAGUGGAAUUCCCGGUGUAGUGGUGAAAUGCGUAGAUAUCGGGAGGAACACCAGUGGCGAAGGCGACUACCUGGCCUGCUCUUGACGCUGAGGCGCGAAAGCUAGGGGAGCAAACGGG